CGGAGAGCUGAAGGGAGCGGUGCGGUGCGGCGCGCCGAGAUUCUCAUUCUGUAUAUGCUGGGAGCUCUUUUCCUGACCUGCUGUGGGAAGAAAAACACAGCUCUAGCCUCUGGCUGUGGACGUGAAAGGGGUGUCUAGAGUGGCUUGGUAAUCUUGGGUCUCAGAAGUCCACACGUGUGAUCUGAGGCAUCUUUAGGAAGACCUGCGUCUGAACUUCCAGCCAGCAAGCCGUCCAGCUGGCCCGUGACGCCGUGACUCACGCCUCGUUACUGGUUACAUCUCUUUUGUACCUAGCACGCGCCUGCCAUUGUGUGCCACCUGCAAAAGGCCCACUAUCAAGUUCCCUGUACCCAGCUUCUCAGGGACUCGACUGUGAGUGCCAGUCACCAUGAACACUUGAGAAAUUCCUGUGCUGUGCUUCAGGGCUGAGGGCGGCAAACACCCUGCCUUCUGGGGUCACCGCAUAGGACAAGUUCGUUGUUAAGGCUUCCUACUGUUAUGCAGCCUUCAAAAUUAACUUGGGCCCAAGUCUACCUAGCUCCUUCUCUGGUUUCUUCCUUCCCAGGCACACAGGGUGUAAUGUGACAUUUGGGUAUGGGAGUUACAGUCUAGAAGAGGAGGGGGACAUACAAGCAGAUGGCCACCAUGCCUCAAUGCACCGAAGGGGGUGGAGACAGAAGUGGAUACAGAAGCACUGACCCGGAAGGUCACUGGAAGGACUUGGAAGGAGAUUUGAUUGGAAAGAAAGAAAGGUGACAACU
rnacentral:lncRNA from 1 species